UUUUGUCAUCUGUCCUGUCUGGUUCUCUCAAAUUCAUGUGCACACUCAGCCUCCUUGCUGUCAGGGCAGUGUGAGAAACUGGGAAGGUCUUGGCACUGUGCACAUACCACCAAACAACAGCUAAAACAUUGGGUGCUAUUAACAUUAUUUUGCUCAAAAAUUCUAAACUUAGAACCUUAUUGGCUGCUUUGAAGAAAAAUAACUUCAUCUUAGCCCAAACUAAUACAAAAUGUUUGUCCUGUGUAAAUUAUUACAUGCUUUGUAGUAUCCUGCAUAUGCCUGUUGCAUUAAAAAAUUAAGCUCCCUAUCAGAUAAGAUUUGAGAGCAGGCAUUCAGUUAAGUUGAACACUAAACAGAUAUCAAAUAUUUAGAAAGAAGAUUGCAAAAUAUUGAGAAAUAAAAUAUAAGAUUUGCCUGAAAACUGUACGUAGGUGCUUUCAACAAGUGUUAUCUCUAUCUUUUUGUUGUGCUCUCUAAACAGAGAUGCUUUUGAGCAGGAUGUCUUCCUUGAAAACUGAAUGUCUUGUGUUUCAAUUACAGUUAACCACAGUGUAACUGAAACAUACACUUUUCUGGUUACAGUCUCAGAAUGCUACUGCUAAAUCAAGUUUUGUCCUUCAGAACUUUGCAGUGGUUACGUAAGUUUUCAGGAAACGUUUAAUAGUUUUCUUAAGACAUGAUAUCUAGCAUGGGAUCAUUUAAGAUUCUUCACAGAUUUUUACAACUCCCUUUUUCCUUACUGGAGAGAAGGAAAAAUUUCAGAAACGGAUCUUUGAAAUGUGAAAUCUGUCUGGAGUUCCAUUAAGUGCAUUGCAAGCAUAUUCCAUGCAGUCAGCACUGCUGAGGCCAGUACUGGCCUGGGCUCCUCAGAGAUGUAGUAUACCAAAGGGAGUAGUGUCAAGUCCCACAUAACUAAGGGACUGCAGAACCUCACCUGUGAGGAAAUGGCAAGAGAUCUUGGA
rnacentral:lncRNA from 1 species